ACGGGUGAGUUACGCGUGAGAAUCUACCUUUUAGUGAAGAAUACCCUUGAGAAAUCGAGGUUAAUGCUGCAUACGUCCCUUCGGGGAGAAAGAUGGCCUCUUUGCUGUCGCUAAAAGAUGAGCUUGCGUGCUAUUAGCUAGUUGGUAGGGUAAAGGCCUACCAAGGCGAUGAUGGCUAGCCGGCCUGAGAGGGUGUACGGCCACACUGGAACUUAGACACGGUCCAGACUCCUACGGGAGGCAGCAGUGAGGAAUAUUGCGCAAUGGGCGAAAGCCUGACGCAGCGACGCCGCGUGGAGGAUGAAGGUCUUUGGAUUGUAAACUCCUGUUAAGUGGGAAGAAACGUUCACCUUUAAUAGAGGUGGAUAAUGACGGUACCAUUAUAGAAAGCACCGGCUAACCUCGUGCCAGCAGCCGCGGUAAUACGAGGGGUGCAAGCGUUAUUCGGAAUUAUUGGGCGUAAAGGGUGCGUAGGCUGCGUACUAAGUCAACUGUUAAAUUUCUCGGCCUAACUGAGAACAUGCAGUAGAUACUGGUAUGCUAGAGGGUGGAAGAGAGAAGUGGAAUUCUCGGAGUAGCGGUAAAA
rnacentral:rRNA from 1 species